UGCGCUGUUCUCGUUAAGAUUCAGCCCUCUUUCUUGAAAUUGCACUCCUUGGAUUAUUGCAAACCUUCCCGGAGUUCUGAAAUUUUAGAUUCUGCCAACUGCUGAUAUGGUUCUCAUUGCAUUUAUGGAGUAUUCAUUCUUUAGAGGCAAUAAUUAGAAAUUAACAUACUUCCCCAAAAGUGAUUAGUGGCUUUUGAGAAGACGGAAUGUAAGAAUGAAUGCUGGGAAGUCAGCCUGCAAAUAUUCACUACAGCGAGUGGUUCCUGAGUUUUCUGGAACCCUUCUAUUGAGGCUUUCAGCUUAUUGGAUCUUACUUCAUCCCUGGGCUUCCCUGGUGGCUCAGAUGCAGAAGAAUCCUCCUGCAAUGCAGGAGGGAAUGGCUACCUACUCCAGUGUUCUUGUCUGUGAAUCCCAUGGACAGAGGAGAUUGGUGGGCUACAGUCCAUGGUGUUACAAAGACUCAGACACAACUGAGUGACUAAACAUGCAUUUCUUCCCUAUAAGAUUGUUCCAGUGUCGCCUAUCAGGAGCUUAUGACAACAUCAAAUGACAACAUUAAGAUGCCACAUAGCCUCCUAGCAAGAGUUCCUUUUCUGGCCUCCUUUGCAACCAGCUGUAUUCUUGUACCUAAUUUGUAACUAAUUAUUAGGAGCAAAAGUGUAACAACUUAUCACCUACACUGGAAAGAAAAGGACUGCAGUCUCUCUGUUGGCUGAGACAUGGACAUGUUGGUGACCAAGCUUUGUGCACUAAACAACAACAACAACAACAAAACAGAUGAACAACACUCCCAGUGGUGGUGGACCAAGGAAGCUGAAGGCCUGAGUCUUUUAAUGACCUUGCUGUCAUUGCUGCUCCCUUCCCUGCACUGACUCAUCUCUUGCUCCUGGACUGUCUGUCACCUGAUAGAGCAGCUGUACUCGAAGUAUCACUUGUUUCUGCAGCUUAGGCUGUACCCUAACCAAGUUAACUGGCUUGAAGUCAAAUUGGUCUGAUAGGAAGAGCAUUGCCCCAGCUCUCUUUUCAUUAGUAUUUUCCUGGUGUAAUUUUUUCUAGCAUCUUAGAUGAAACUUUGCAGUCUAUUAUGUUUUAGUUGCAUCUUAUAAAGCAUAUAUAGGUAGAAUGUUUUCUCUUCCAGUGUGAGAAUCUCUGGUAAAUUCAAUAUAUUUAAUUUUAUUGUUAUUGCUGAUAACUUGGGGCUUGUUUUAACUUUAUUUUUUCUCUUUUGCCACAUUUUUGUAUCUACAGUGUUAUUCAGAAGCUCUAUUUUUUUUUCUAAUUCUUUCUUCAUUUAAUUUUGUUAGUGAUAUUGUAACAUAGUUUUUACAAUGAUGUUUGAUUCAGUUUUGAGUUUUGUGUAAAUUAAACAGCACACUCCUAAAUGCCUAAUGGGUUAAAGAAAAAAAUCAAAAGAUAUCCUGAAACAAAGAUGAAAACAUAACAUACCAAAACUUAUGCAACAAAAAUAGUUCUAAAUGAAAGUUUGUUGUAAUAAAGUAACAACAAAUAAAAAUCUCAAGUAAACCAAUACUUCAAGAGAUCAGAAAAAGAACAAACUAAGCCUAUGGUCAGCAGAAAGAAAAAGUACCAAAGGUCAGAGCAGAAAUAAAUAAAAUUGAGAAUAGAAAAAACAAAACAA